GUGCUUGCUUCGGCAGCACAUAUACUGAAAUUGGAAUGAUACAGAGAAGAUUAGCAUGGCCCCUGCACAAGGAUGACAUGCAAAUUUGUGAAGCGUUUCAUAUUUUU